AUAUAACAAAAUAGAAACAAAAUAAUUAAAAAAAAAACAAAACAAGACUUGACAAUAACCUGUGAUGCAUUAUUAAUGAUUACCUAUGGAGACAGUAUUUAUUAUACAAAUACAUAAAUAAAACCAAUAGUUUGUAUAUAUUAUUGCACAUGCCAUCGCCGUGUUCAAGCAGAUCCAGGAACAAUGGAAAUCCUACCUUACGCACUGAGGAUAAGGUCGUGACCUCGGAUAGGCGGUGGGAGAUUGUUGUAUAUGUCGCUCGAGAGAUAUUUAAAACUAUGGCGAAACAUGGCAGAUUUAUGUUUGGGAGUCAGCAUGAGAUAAGUUGCAGCUCUGGUAUUAAUAGUGUGGUGAUUACGGGCCCAGGCCAGCUUAUCAUACAGAUAAUCUGGCGACUGGUGCUUCACCACACCGAAGAGGAGAGUGGCCAGAUGCAGUUUCCACCUCGCAGCAAUCUUCAACAGGUUUGAACGGUUAAGGAACGGUGUAACAUGAGCGCGCGGAGGUAUAUUAAAGCAGAACCUCGCGCAGGCGUUCUGUACUCUUUGUAACAAUCUUUCCGUUUUGCGUAAUAAACAAGGGCCGUAUACGGUGUCAGCAUAAUUUAGUUUGGAAAGUACAAGCGAUUCGCACAAUUGGAUACGGAGGUCAACAUUUAAGUAAGGUCGCAUUUUGUACAAGAUUUUUAGUCUAUAAAAACAGUUUCUGAUCAUUUCCAUGACAUGUUUUUCAAAACGCAGACUGCUAUCAAAAAUAAGACCGAGGUUGCGCGCCUCCGUAACUCGUUCUAUAACCGCUCCAUCUAAUAUUAUAUUCGGAUUAUGUACAAUAGUGUC